rnacentral:lncRNA from 1 species
CCUGUCAAUUCUCUUGUGACUAGUUGAAAUUGUUGACUUUUCAAAGUCAAGUAGUCACAUGGGUUUCUUCAAUUUUGGCCUGUUCUCUAACUUCGCUCAAUCACACCAAGCCCAGGUUUGAGUUUUGGGACUGUGGGUUGAGCAAAUCACACCAUAGCAUGUUGCCCACUCAGAUGAAGGUCUUACUUAAAACUUUAACAUUUAAUCUCCUUCAAUCAAGUAAAGAAUAUUAUUUCUAUUACAUUGCUACUAUAUAUAUAUAUGUUGUG